GUGUGUGUGUGGAUGGUGUUCAGCACCAGGGACAGGUUUGUGUGUGUGUGUGUGUGUGUGUGUGUGGAUGGUGUUCAGCACCAGGGACAGGUUUGUGUGUGU
rnacentral:pre_miRNA from 1 species